UGGGGAAUAUUGCACAAUGGGGGAAACCCUGAUGCAGCGACGCCGCGUGAGCGAAGAAGUAUUUCGGUAUGUAAAGCUCUAUCAGCAGGGAAGAAGAAAGUGACGGUACCUGACUAAGAAGCUCCGGCUAAAUACGUGCCAGCAGCCGCGGUAAUACGUAUGGAGCAAGCGUUAUCCGGAUUUACUGGGUGUAAAGGGAGCGUAGGCGGUGCUAUAAGUCUGAUGUGAAAGCCCGGGGCUCAACCGCGGGACUGCAUUGGAAACUGUAGGACUGGAGUGUCGGAGGGGUAAGUGGAAUUCCUAGUGUAGCGGUGAAAUGCGUAGAUAUUAGGAGGAACACCGGUGGCGAAGGCGGCUUACUGGACGACAACUGACGCUGAGGCUCGAAAGCGUGGGGAGCAAACAGG
rnacentral:rRNA from 1 species